UACAGAGGGUGCAAGCGUUGUCCGGAUUUAUUGGGCGUAAAGAGCUCGUAGGCGGUUUGGUAAGUUGGAUGUGAAAUCUCCAGGCUCAACUUGGAGGGGUCAUUCGAUACUGCCAUGACUAGAGUUCGGUAGGGGAGUGUGGAAUUCCUGGUGGAGCGGUGAAAUGCGUAGAUAUCGAGAGGAACACCUGCGGCGAAGGCGGGUAGCUGGGCCGACACUGACGCUGAGGCGCGAAAGCCAGGGGAGCGAACGGG
rnacentral:rRNA from 1 species